CAAGCGGUGGAGCAUGUGGUUUAAUUCGACGCAACGCGCAGAACCUUACCAGCCCUUGACAUGCCUCGGAAGUGGACGAGAGAUCGACCACGCUCUUCGGAGCCGGGGACACAGGUGCUGCAUGGCUGUCGUCAGCUCGUGUCGUGAGAUGUUGGGUUAAGUCCCGCAACGAGCGCAACCCUCGCCUUCAGUUGCCAUCAUUUAGUUGGGCACUCUGGAGGGACUGCCGGUGACAAGCCGGAGGAAGGUGGGGAUGACGUCAAGUCCUCAUGGCCCUUACGGGCUGGGCUACACACGUGCUACAAUGGUGGUGACAGUGGGCUGCGAUGGGGUGACCCUGAGCAAAUCCCAAAAAGCCAUCUCAGUUCGGAUUGCACUCUGCAACUCGGGUGCAUGAAGUUGGAAUCGCUAGUAAUCGCGCAACAGCAUGGCGCGGUGAAUACGUUCCCGGGCCUU
rnacentral:rRNA from 1 species